rnacentral:rRNA from 1 species
AUGCAACCUCUGCGGCAACCGUUUCAACUUGUUGAUCAGGACAUGCCAGAAGCUAACAUGGGGAUGUCAGAGCAGAUGCCACAUUUUCCGCAACUUGGGCACCAUAUGCCUCACUCUGGUCUUGUUCUACCUGCACCACGAGCUGUGCUACCUGGUGGAUAUAUGCCAAACAUGGGUGCCCCUAUGCAGCCUCCGUUUUAUACUUAUCAACAAAUGUGGGUUCCUGUUCUAGUUCACCCCCUGGGUUCAACUCAGCAUCACACCAUGUCUCCUUGGCUGCCCUCAGUUAGCUCAUCUGACCCUAGCCCUUUGGAUUGGCAAGAGCACUUUUCACAUGAAGGGAAAAAGUACUAUUACAAUAUGAGGACAAAACAAUCAAGUUGGUACAAACCUGUCGAGUUGAUGACACCUUUGGAGAGGGCUGAUGCGACUACUGCUUGGAAUGAAUAUACUACGGAUGAAGGACGGAAGUACUACCACAACAGAGUGACGAAGAAAUCUCAAUGGACUAUUCCUGAGGAGCUGAAGAUUGCACGUGAACUAGCAGAGAAGGCGUCAAGCCAACGGCCUGAUCAGGACGCUCAAACCACUGCUGGUGCCUAUGUUGGAUCCUCUUAUGCUGCUUCAAGCACACACGAUGCAAUGGCGGUCGUUUCUGAAAGAAUAGAUCAAGAGUUGAGGAUUUGA